AGGCCUAACACAUGCAAGUCGAGCGGUAGCACAAGGGAGCUUGCUCCCUGGGUGACGAGCGGCGGACGGGUGAGUAAUGUCUGGGGAUCUGCCUGAUGGAGGGGGAUAACUACUGGAAACGGUAGCUAAUACCGCAUAACGUCGCAAGACCAAAGUGGGGGACCUUAGGGCCUCAUGCCAUCGGAUGAACCCAGAUGGGAUUAGCUAGUAGGUGGGGUAAUGGCUCACCUAGGCGACGAUCCCUAGCUGGUCUGAGAGGAUGACCAGCCACACUGGAACUGAGACACGGUCCAGACUCCUACGGGAGGCAGCAGUGGGGAAUAUUGCACAAUGGGCGCAAGCCUGAUGCAGCCAUGCCGCGUGUGUGAAGAAGGCCUUAGGGUUGCAAAGCACUUCCAGCGAGGAGGAAGGAUGAAGUGUUAAUAGCACUUGAUAUUGACGUUACUCGCAGAAGAAGCACCGGCUAACUCCGUGCCAGCAGCCGCGGUAAUACGGAGGGUGCAAGCGUUAAUCGGAAUUACCUACUCUUGACAUCCAGAGAAUUAGCCAGAGAUGGCUGAGUGCCUUCGGGAGCUCUGAGACAGGUGCUGCAUGGCUGUCGUCAGCUCGUGUUGUGAAAUGUUGGGUUAAGUCCCGCAACGAGCGCAACCCUUAUCCUUUGUUGCCAGCGAUUCGGUCGGGAACUCAAAGGAGACUGCCGGUGAUAAACCGGAGGAAGGUGGGGAUGACGUCAAGUCAUCAUGGCCCUUACGAGUAGGGCUACACACGUGCUACAAUGGCGUAUACAAAGAGAAGCGAGCCUGCGAGGGGAAGCGGACCUCAUAAAGUACGUCGUAGUCCGGAUUGGAGUCUGCAACUCGACUCCAUGAAGUCGGAAUCGCUAGUAAUCGUAGAUCAGAAUGCUACGGUGAAUACGUUCCCGGGCCUUGUACACACCGCCCGUCACACCAUGGGAGUGGGUUGCAAAAGAAGUAGGUAGCUUAACCUUCGGGAGGGCGCUUACCACUUUGUGGUUCA
rnacentral:rRNA from 1 species